rnacentral:lncRNA from 1 species
AUGAGACGUCAAUGUGUUAACUGUAUUCUACUUAGGCAUGAGCAAUGCAUGGCCGCUAGGAUUGGGGGUGUCCUCAUGGGUGUCAGAGCGUGGAUCCUACAAGCCAUGGUUGGCUUGAAGAAAAGCAGCAGGAGAAGUUGAGAAAGAGUGUAGCACAUGGGAAAGUCCAUGAACGGGAAAGGGCAACUGACCACCAACCGGAAUGCUCUGCCGACGACAGAUCCAAUGAGUAGUUGGAACAGCCGGCCGCUGCCACCGAGCGGAACUUGACCAUGGCCAGAUCCUCCAUGUUGGGGGAA